ensembl:lncRNA
AGCGUGACAACCGCUGGGGGAAAGGCAGUCGGGAGCGGUGAUUAAAAUGGACACAAAUCCGCUAAAGACUUCCAGGUAAACUCCAUGCAGAAACGUACAAAGAUGCCCCCUUUUCCAUCUUCCAAUUACAAGAAGAAAAACAUGUGCAAGGAAGUUAGAAUCCUUAUGAUGCACGUUGUGUUUGCUAAUGAUUUAUUUUUUAAUGUUUAUUUGAAGUAAAGACAUCAUGAAUAUAAAUGAUAAGGCUCUUCUCAUACUUUUAUAAAAAGUAAAAGUAAAAUGCUUCUGACUCCUCCAAGCAGCCACAAGUGGCCAAUUCAGGAUGCUUGAUAUCCAGAAUAGAGAAAGGCGUCUUAUUUGAAAUCAGGCCAUUCUUAACCUCCACUUCUACAUCCUCCAGUACGUACAAUCCUCUCCUGGUUUAUGUGUUAAGCUCUGCGUCACACUCUGCAGACAUGGGUGUGUGUGGAGAAUCCUUAGGAGUCCCUUGCAGUAAAUGCCCAUUUUCUGUCAGGCUGGCUUGGAAAGAGGUUAAAAGGUUCUCUCAUGAGGAUCAGUGGCACAUUCUAGAGAACUAUAGAGAACACAGCUCAGGUAAUCAAUAGAAUAAAUUUAAGCGUGUUUGGUUUGUUGCAUGGACUCAGAUAAUCUUGCAAACAUGUUUUAAAGUUAACUACUGCAAUUGUCGUCUAAACAUAUUAAAGGGACGUUUUCCUCCUAGUCUUUUGUGAAGUCAUUAUAGCAUCCAAACUUUGCUAUAAUAUUGUUGACAUUAAAGUGAGGUGUAAUAAAUAGAAAAGGAUAAUUGCCAGAAGGCCAGUAAGGAUAAAAGGAAGCAGCUGACCUUAAUUUAACAGUAGUACUAUAAGCAAGGCUGGAAAGGAAAGAGUUGCCAAAGAAUGGCCACUUAAAUGACCUGCAUUGUAGGAACUAUAAAAAUGAUAUGCCACUUUCUGAUUUUCAAAUCAUGAAUAGCAAAUACAGGUGGCUUUGUGUUUGAGAAGACAUACAGAUGAACUGAAUGACAUUUACCUCGACAAAUGUCCACAUUAAAGUCAGUGGAGUUUUUUCCAAGGGUACAAUAAACUCUCUUCCUAAAGUACAUGUGUAAAAUGUAGUUCUCUAGAACUACAUCUAUUUUUCUUCACUGGAUAUGUAGAGU